AGAGUUUGAUCAUGGCUCAGGAUGAACGCUGGCGGCGUGCUUAACACAUGCAAGUCGAACGAAGCGCAUAAGCGGAAUUCUUCGGGAGGAAGGUUAUGCGACUGAGUGGCGGACGGGUGAGUAACGCGUGGGCAACCUGCCUUACACAGGGGGAUAACAGUUAGAAAUGACUGCUAAUACCGCAUAAGACCACAGCUUCGCAUGAAGGAGUGGCAAAAACUGAGGUGGUGUAAGAUGGGCCCGCGUCUGAUUAGGUAGUUGGCAGGGUAACGGCCUACCAAGCCGACGAUCAGUAGCCGACCUGAGAGGGCGACCGGCCACAUUGGGACUGAGACACGGCCCAAACUCCUACGGGAGGCAGCAGUGGGGAAUAUUGCACAAUGGGGGAAACCCUGAUGCAGCGACGCCGCGUGAGUGAAGAAGUAUUUCGGUAUGUAAAGCUCUAUCAGCAGGGAAGAAAAUGACGGUACCUGACUAAGAAGCACCGGCUAAAUACGUGCCAGCAGCCGCGGUAAUACGUAUGGUGCAAGCGUUAUCCGGAUUUACUGGGUGUAAAGGGAGCGUAGACGGUCUGGCAAGUCUGAUGUGAAAAUCCGGGGCUCAACCCCGGAACUGCAUUGGAAACUGUUAGACUAGAGUGUCGGAGAGGUAAGUGGAAUUCCUAGUGUAGCGGUGAAAUGCGUAGAUAUUAGGAGGAACACCAGUGGCGAAGGCGGCUUACUGGACGAUGACUGACGUUGAGGCUCGAAAGCGUGGGGAGCAAACAGGAUUAGAUACCCUGGUAGUCCACGCCGUAAACG
rnacentral:rRNA from 1 species